rnacentral:rRNA from 1 species
UAGAGUUUGAUCAUGGCUCAGAUUGAACGCUGGCGGCAGGCCUAACACAUGCAAGUCGAGCGGAAACGAGAAUAGCUUGCUAUUCGGCGUCGAGCGGCGGACGGGUGAGUAAUGCCUGGGAAAUUGCCCUGAUGUGGGGGAUAACCAUUGGAAACGAUGGCUAAUACCGCAUAAUAGCUUCGGCUUAAAGAGGGGGACCUUCGGGCCUCUCGCUUCAGGAUAUGCCCAGGUGGGAUUAGCUAGUUAGUGAGGUAAAGGCUCACCAAGGCGACGAUCCCUAGCUGGUCUGAGAGGAUGAUCAGCCACACUGGAACUGAGACACGGUCCAGACUCCUACGGGAGGCAGCAGUGGGGAAUAUUGCACAAUAGGCGCAAGCCUGAUGCAGCCAUGCCGCGUGUAUGAAGAAGGCCUUCGGGUUGUAAAGUACUUUCAGCAGUGAGGAAGGGUGUGUAGUUAAUAGCUGCAUACUUUGACGUUAGCUGCAGAAGAAGCACCGGCUAACUCCGUGCCAGCAGCCGCGGUAAUACGGAGGGUGCGAGCGUUAAUCGGAAUUACUGGGCGUAAAGCGCAUGCAGGUGGUUUGUUAAGUCAGAUGUGAAAGCCCGGGGCUCAACCUCGGAACCGCAUUUGAAACUGGCAGGCUAGAGUACUGUAGAGGGGGGUAGAAUUUCA